rnacentral:rRNA from 1 species
CAAUAGCGUAUAUUUAAGUUGCUGCAGUUAAAAAGCUCGUAGUUGGAUUUCGGGUGGGAAUGGCCGGUCCGCCGUUUCGGUGUGCACUUGCUACGCCCACCUUGCUGCCGGGGACGUGCUCUUGAGUUCACGCUCGGGACACGGAGUCGGCGAGGUUACUUUGAGUAAAUUAGAGUGUUCAAAGCAGGCCUACGCUCUGAAUACAUUAGCAUGGAAUAACACGAUAGGACUCUGGCCUAUCUUGUUGGUCUGUAGGACCGGAGUAAUGAUUAAGAGGGACAGUCGGGGGCAUUCGUAUUUCAUUGUCAGAGGUGAAAUUCUUGGAUUUAUGAAAGACGAACUACUGCGAAAGCAUUUGCCAAGGAUGUUUUCAAUAA